rnacentral:rRNA from 1 species
UAUUUUGUUGGUUUCUAGGACCGCCGUAAUGAUUAAUAGGGACAGUCGGUGGCAUCAGUAUUCAAUUGUCAGAGGGGAAAUUCUUGGAUUUAUUGAAGACUAACUACUGCGAAAGCAUUUGCCAAGGAUGUUUUCAUUCAUCAGUGAACGAAAGUUAGGGGAUCGAAGACGAUCAGAAACCGUCGUAGUCUUAACCAUAAACUAUGCCGACUAGGGAUCGGGCGGUGUUACUAUCUUGACCCUCUCGGCACCCUACGAGAAAUCAAAAUGUUUGGGUUUUGGGGGGAGUAUGGUCGCAAGGCUGAAAAUUAAAGAAAUUGAGGGAAGGGCACCCCCAGGGGGGGAGCCUGCGGCUUAAUUUGACCCAACACGGGGAAACUCACCAGGUCCAGAUGAAAUAAGGAUUGACAGAUUGAGAGCUCUUUUUUGAUUUUUCAGGGGGCGGUGCAUGGCCGUUUUUAGUUGGGGGAGUGAUUUGUCUGCUUAAUUGCGAUAACGAACGAGACCUUAACCUGCUAAAUAGCCAGGCUAGCUUUGGCUGGUCGCCGGCUUUUUAGAGGGACUAUCGGCUCAAGCCGAUGGAAGUUUGAGGCAAUAACAGGUCUGUGAUGCCCUUAGAUGUUCUGGGCCGCACGCGCGCUACACUGACAGAGCCAACGAGUUCUUUUCCUUGGCCGGAAGGUCCGGGUAAUCUUGUUAAACUCUGUCGUGCUGGGGAUAGAGCAUUGCAAUA